AAUGGAUCCAUGGAUGAGAUGGAUGGUGAAUUUGGCAGAUCUUUCUCCUGACACGGAACCUUCACGCAUCUCAUGGAUCUUUAGACUGUUCAUGUUGAGAACAUCUUCAACAUCCUCAGCUGCAGCAAGUGGUCUCCAACAAACGAGAACCUCAUCCAGUUCCUGCCUCGUCUGUGGGAUUUCAGAGUCACACUGAGACUCUACAAUCCUCAGCUCCACGUCACAGCACUCGCUGUCCCACAGAGACCGGAACAGAGGGAUGAGGGACAGAAGAAUAUUGAUUCCUUCAACUUUGUUCUUCAAUCUUUGUUCAAGAUUUCACAAUUUUAUUUUUUAUUUUUAAAUAAAUUGUUCAAACAGAUCAUUAAAGCUCACAAACUCUGUUCCUA